rnacentral:rRNA from 1 species
CUAUACAUGCAGUCGAGCGAAUCUGAGGGAGCUUGCUCCCAAAGAUUAGCGGCGGACGGGUGAGUAACACGUGGGCAACCUGCCUGUAAGACUGGGAUAACUUCGGGAAACCGGAGCUAAUACCGGAUAAUCCCUUUCCUCACAUGAGGAAAGGCUGAAAGACGGCGUCUAGCUGUCACUUACGGAUGGGCCCGCGGCGCAUUAGCUAGUUGGUGAGGUAACGGCUCACCAAGGCCACGAUGCGUAGCCGACCUGAGAGGGUGAUCGGCCACACUGGGACUGAGACACGGCCCAAACUCCUACGGGAGGCAGCAGUAGGGAAUCUUCCGCAAUGGACAAAAGUCUGACGAAGCACCGCCGCGGGAGUGAUGAAGGUUUUCGGAUCGUAAAACUCUGUUGUUAGGGAAGAACAAGUAUCGAAGUACCUGCCGGUNCCUUGACGGNNCCUAACCAGAAAGCCACGGCCUAAACUACUUGCCANNACCCGCGGAAAUAAAAAA